rnacentral:lncRNA from 1 species
GAGCUGUGAGGGAUUCGGAGUGACCACAUGUUCUGCAAAUUUCUGUUUUCUUCCGGUGAAUUGGACAUCUUUUCUUUUAUUUUUAUGAUUUGGGUUAUAAGUUGUAAUAAGGCCGCUUUAAUGUUUUUUUAAUUAUUUUUAAUAUGUUUUACUAGAAUAGGUAAAAUAUUAUAUUAAUCACUGAAACUGAUUAGUUCUAGGGUGCAUUUUCGAAAAUAAUAAUUGAUUUCAAAAUAACACGACAACAAGCAAAGCUUCCGCUAUGAAAAUGUUUUCCAAAAUUAAUCACUUUUCUUAAAAUGAAUUUAAUCGAAUGGAUUCUUAAAAAUAUACCCUAAGUUAAGGUGUGGCAAUGGUGGUGUGCAUGUCUAAGAUUGGAUCUGAAGGGAGCUUGGUACUUAAGCAGUCCGAU